rnacentral:rRNA from 1 species
AGUCUUUUAAUUGAAGGCUGGUAUGAAUGGUUGGACGAGAUAUUUACUGUUUCAUAUAAAUUUAAAUUAGAAUUUUAUUUUUUAGUUAAAAAGCUAAAAUUUAGUUAAAAGACGAGAAGACCCUAUAAAUCUUUAUAUUUUUUAUAUUAUAAUUUUGAAGAUGAUUUUUAUUAGGAUAUAUUAUAAUAUUUUAUUGGGGUGAUAUUAAAAUUUAAUAAACUUUUAAUUUAUUAAUUACAUUAAUUUAUGAUUUAUUGAUCCAUUUUUAGUGAUUAAAAAUUUAAGUUACUUUAGGGAUAACAGCGUAAUUUUUUUGGAGAGUUCUUAUCGAAAAAAAAGAUUGCGACCUCGAUGUUGGAUUAAG